GAUCCCAUCAGAACUCCGCAGUUAAGCGUGCUUGGGCGAGAGUAGUACUAGGAUGGGUGACCUCCUGGGAAGUCCUCGUGUUGCACCUC
rnacentral:rRNA from 1 species